UAUGGCUCAGUUGGUAGAGUGUCAGUCUCAUAAUCUGAAGGUAUGCAUUGGAUUGUUUGCGAAACAUGCAAUCCCAAGUUAAUGAAAA